UAGAAAUUUGUAAUUAUCUGCACGUUCAUGCCCUGCUGUUGUUAUUUUGCUUAGCAAACUAUUUGCAAUUUUACGUCAUUAAAAUAUGGCAUUAUUACUUCCAAACGUGCUUUUAUGUCUUUCAUCAGUAAACAUCUGCAAUGGCAUGAUUCAUUGUUCUUUGACAACUAAUUAUCGUAUUUUUUCAUAAAGGGAGUUUCGAUGUCUCCUGUUUACCUUUGAUUUACGUGUUGUAUGAAUUUGCCUAAGAGGCUUCUAACUAGCGGCCUAUUGACAGUAUAAGUCUUGCAAUUAAAUGAAAUUUUGGAAGCUUGAAAUCUCUGUUCUUCAUCCGGGCUUAGCCGAAUCAAAGUACUCUAGUUUCUAGUUAAUUGUAAACAUUGCUCCUUUUGUCAGCAAAGAGAGUCUUCAGAACUUGAGUAGGCACAGAGAUUUAAUUGAAUUUGUUUCCAAAAAUGAUUUUUUUGUUUUAAUCCUUAGUAGCACGACCAAAACCAUUUCCAGAAACCUAAGAACAGCAGUCACCUUAGUUAAAUCUAUAUUUAUCAAUACACAGUUCAUUUUGUAAAAUCUUUUGUAGUUUAUCAUAAAUAUUUUGCAACAUUUGCUCAAUACCAUUCUGUUUAUAUUUAAUUACUUUGCUGUUAUUUAAGAAUUUUUUAAACCGAUAGUCAUGUGUAGCAAUUUCACUCAAUAUUUACAAUUGUUUUUCAAAUUGGUUUAAAAUAUAGAAAUGUUUGUUACGGUCAUGUUAAGUAGAUUUUCUUCUUCUUACUAGUUGACGAUCUGAAGCGCUCAAUAGACGAUUUCAAUGAUGCACAAAGAAAAUGGAUUGAUGAUACAGUCCUUGGCCUGAUGGAACUGGAAAAGAAAGAAUCAGAAAGGAUUCAGUUUAUACAGAAAAAAUUGGAGAUGUAUACUGAAUUGGGAAAAACAGCAUUUGAUGGGGAUUCACAGACCAUGACCAAUAUACUGGAAUCAGUGAAGAAAAUUGACCCAGUCAUUGAUCGAAAGGCUUUUGUGGAUGGUAACAGAACGGGUAUCAUAAGACCCAUUGACAUAAAGAAAUGAUUUAUUUAUCAAUAAUCUGUUGCCGUUGUUGUUCAGGUAGUACGGUGUUCUUUCCUUAACCCCUUACUUGGAUAUCGACGUAUGUUACUAUGACUAAUAAAUUCUUGAUACAGUGACUGCACAUUAAAAAUUUAAUGUUUGGAUCUUCUAACCUCAGCUUAGCAUUUGUGUUCGCUUGUUAGGUGUAAUUGCGAUAAACUUCUAACCCCUUUCCCCCUGUACUCUACCCUCUUUUUGUAUACACCCUCUCGUUCCUUUAAUUUAGUCGUUUCUUCUUCGUCUUCUUGUUUCUCUUCGUUUUCGUUCUCUUUUUUUUCUUCUCUAAUAUUUUCUUAUACUUGCCCAUACACUGUGUUCAAGGCACUACGCUUAAGGCUCUAAGUUUUGCGUGAAUGUGGGGCAUAAAUUAAUUUGCUUUUCAGUCUAGACAAGCUGGUUUUCUCUAGCGUAAUUUGCAAAUGGACUGGGACAUUUCAAAGACAGCUUGGUUAUGCAAACAUUAAACUACAGAUACCAAAAGCUUUUGUCAUUACUGUCAAUAAAAACAACUUAUUCCCUUUUGUCCCUUUUCAUGUAGCCUACUCUCGAUCCACAUUUUUAAUAUUCUAAGAUUCCAUUUUAUAGACUUGAUGAUAACACGAAGCUAUUAUAUUUUUGUAACUUUGUAGAAUGUUGAGAUUUUAUAUAUAGUUUUAGAAUCAGUUUUUAAAGCUAUUGAUUUUAAAAGUUCAUUUGGUUUAUAUUACUGUUAAACAGAUUAAACUUACAUUUUCUUUCAAAAA